UAUUGCACAAUGGGCGAAAGCCUGAUGCAGCGACGCCGCGUGAGGGAUGACGGCCUUCGGGUUGUAAACCUCUUUCAGUAGGGAAGAAGCGAAAGUGACGGUACCUGCAGAAGAAGCACCGGCUAACUACGUGCCAGCAGCCGCGGUAAUACGUAGGGUGCGAGCGUUAUCCGGAAUUAUUGGGCGUAAAGAGCUCGUAGGCGGUUUGUCGCGUCUGUCGUGAAAGUCCGGGGCUUAACCCCGGAUCUGCGGUGGGUACGGGCAGACAGAGUGCAGAGGGAGACUGAAUUCCUGGUGAGCGGUGAAUGCGCAGAAUCAGAGAACACCAUGGCGAGGCAGGUCUCUGGGCUAACUGCGCUGAGCAAAGAUA
rnacentral:rRNA from 1 species